rnacentral:rRNA from 1 species
UACGUAAGGGGCAAGCGUUGUCCGGAAUCACUGGGCGUAAAGCGCACGUAGGCGGUUACGCAAGUCAGGGGUGCAAGCUCCAGGCCUAACCUGGAAACUGCCUCUGAAACUACGUUACUUGAGUGUUAGAGGGGAAGCUGGAAUUCACGGUGUAGCGGUGAAAUGCGUAGAUAUCGUGGAGAACACCCGUGGCGAAGGCGGGCUUCUGGCUAACAACUGACGCUGAGGUGCGAAAGCUAGGGGAGCGAACGGG